GCCCGGCUGGCUUAGUCGGUGCAGUGCGAGACUCCUAACCUCGGGGCCGUGGGCUCGAGCCCCACGCUGGGCG